GAUUAGAAUUCCGUCGUAGUCUUAACUAUAAACUAUGCCGACCAAGGAUAUGAGUUGUUACGAUUACAUGAAAGUAUAAUCAACUUCUUCUUAUGGACUUUGUGAGAAAUCAUAAGUUAUUAGGUUCUGGGGGGAGUAUGGUCGCAAGGCUGAAACUUAAAGGAAUUGACGGAGGGGCACCACCAGGAGUGGAGCGUGCGGCUUAAUUUGACUCAACACGGGAAAACUUACCAGGUCCAGACAUUAGAAGGAUUGACAGAUUGAUAGCUCUUUCAUGAUUUGAUGGGUGGUGGUGCAUGGCCGUUCUUAGUUGGUGGAGUGAUUUGUCUGGUUAAUUCCGAUAACGAACGAGACCUUUACCAUACUAACUAGUUAUAUUUAUACUUUUGUAUAGAUAGAUGAACUUCUUAGAGGGACUAUUGGUUUACAAACCAAAGGAAGUAAAGGCGAUAACAGGUCUGUUGGCCUCUUAGA
rnacentral:rRNA from 1 species